rnacentral:tRNA from 1 species
GCGGCUGUAGUCUAGUGGUAGGAUCUGAGCCUUCCAAGCUCAUGACCAGGGUUCGAAUCCCUGCGGCCGCA